rnacentral:lncRNA from 1 species
GUUAGUUUUCUCGUUUGAAUUGUUUUACAUUGUCAUGUCGGGUCCUUUUAUAGCUGACUAUGCGGUAUGAGCUUUCCUCAUUGUUGAAGGCCGUACGGUGACCUAUAGUUGUUAAUUUCUGUGUCAUUUUGGUUUCUUUUGGAGAGGUGUCUCAUUGGCAAUCAUACAACAUCUUCUUUUUUUAAAUCCAAGAGUGUUUCUCGUUUCUUCUGCAUUAUUCAUUAUCAAAUUUUGAUAAAAAUUAAUAAAAGACGUACUUCGGAGUGGUUUCUAAUAAGAAACUCAAUAGUUGUGCAUGUAAAUCGGAACUCGUGUAACUCGUGCGCACAUGUUAGUAGCUCGUGCUUAAGAGUUGUAAUUUUUGUAAAUGGAACUCCAGGGUUGCCGUAUUAAUGUGUUUCUGUAUCUUUCGAGUCAUUAUUAAUUUGUUUGUAUCAUGCUCAACGUACAUUGUGUACCUCCCGUCAUUUGAAACAACAUUUUUACGAUUUAAACUAAACUGGUGAACUGUACCAAUAUUACGCAUUUCGGGGUAAAACAAUAAGUCAAAGAUUGUUAUUUAAAUAUAAAAAAGAAGAUGUGGUAUGCCAAUGAGACAACUAUCCACAAAAGACCAAAAUGACAGUUGAUAUUUCUGUUUUAAUUUUUUUUUUUCAAAACAAAAGAUAACUCGAAGUGAAAGAAAAAAAUGCUCAGUUAAAACAAAGAACAAUAAAAGUAAGUCGCGGCUAUGUGCCCGCUAAACCGCCGUCUCUCUCUUCGCUUCUUUUUUCAUAUCUCUUUUUUUCUAAGUCCCCUGUAUAUUAAGUAUACGUAGACAAAUUAGUCACAUGGCAUUGUGAACUUAAGUGUCAUUAAGAUUUUAGAUUAUUUGAAUAGAUGAUUUUUCAGUUUGAAUAUUUACAAAUAAAUUCUUUUAAAAUCUAGCUUUAGCAUUUCCCCCCCCCCCAUCAUUCGAUUAAAAUGGAACAUAGUUUGUGGUAUUCCUAACUUGGUUCAUAUAAGGUACAACGCCUAUGUUACCCCGGUUUCUAAAAGCAUAAUUUUGUAGAUUUCAAAAAUUAUCUGACGAUUAAAAAAACAAAGAGUUCAGAAAGGAAUUGCACCAUUUAUUUUUGUA